rnacentral:rRNA from 1 species
GACGAACGCUGGCGGCGUGCUUAACACAUGCAAGUCGAACGAAAAGAGGGAAAGAGCUUGCUCUUUCCGGAAUUGAGUGGCAAACGGGUGAGUAACACGUAAACAACCUGCCUUCAGGAUGGGGACAACAGACGGAAACGACUGCUAAUACCGAAUAAGUUCCAAGGGCCGCAUGGCCCAUGGAAGAAAAGGUGGCCUCUACCUGUAAGCUAUCGCCUGAAGAGGGGUUUGCGUCUGAUUAGCUGGUUGGAGGGGUAACGGCCCACCAAGGCGACGAUCAGUAGCCGGUCUGAGAGGAUGAACGGCCACACUGGAACUGAGACACGGUCCAGACUCCUACGGGAGGCAGCAGUGGGGAAUCUUCCGUAAUAGGCGAAAGCCUGACGGAGCAACGCCGCGUGAGUGAUGACGGCCUUCGGGUUGUAAAACUCUGUGAUCCGGGACGAAAAGGCAGAGUGCGAAGAACAAACUGCAUUGACGGUACCGGAAAAGCAAGCCACGGCUAACUACGUG